rnacentral:tRNA from 1 species
UCCCUGGCAGUCCAGUGAUUAGGACUUUGCCCUUUCACUGCCAAAGGCCUGGGUUCAAUUCCUGGUUGGGGAA